rnacentral:tRNA from 2 species
GCCCGAGUAUUCCAACUGGCAGAGAUACAGCAUUAAGGAUGCUGACAGUGUGGGUUCGAAUCCCACUUCGGGUA